rnacentral:rRNA from 1 species
CCUACGGGCGGCAGCAGUGGGGAAUAUUGGACAAUGGGCGAAAGCCUGAUCCAGCCAUGCCGCGUGUGUGAAGAAGGCCUUCGGGUUGUAAAGCACUUUCAGUGGGGAAGAAAGCCUUGGGGCUAAUACCCUCGAGGAAGGACAUCACCCACAGAAGAAGCACCGGCUAACUCCGUGCCAGCAGCCGCGGUAAUACGGAGGGUGCGAGCGUUAAUCGGAAUUACUGGGCGUAAAGCGCGCGUAGGCGGUCUGAUAAGCCGGUUGUGAAAGCCCCGGGCUCAACCUGGGAACGGCAUCCGGAACUGUCAGGCUAGAGUGCAGGAGAGGAAGGUAGAAUUCCCGGUGUAGCGGUGAAAUGCGUAGAGAUAGGGAGGAAUACCAGUGGCGAAGGCGGCCUUCUGGACUGACACUGACGCUGAGGUGCGAAAGCGUGGGUAGCAAACAGGAUUAGAUACCCUGGUAGUC